GGGCGAUUAGUUUAGUGGUAGAACAGCGGUCUCCAAAACCGCUAGUGGGGGUUCGAUUCCUCAAUCGCCCGCCA
rnacentral:tRNA from 1 species